GUGGCCCAAAUUGUUAAGCACUUGGCUACUAACCAAAAGGUUGGUGGUUCGAAUCCACCC
rnacentral:tRNA from 1 species